UAAGGAAUAUUGGUCAAUGGACGCAAGUCUGAACCAGCCAUGCCGCGUGAAGGAUGAAGGUCCUCUGGAUUGUAAACUUCUUUUAUCUGGGACGAAAACGGGAUUUUUAUCUCAAUUGACGGUACCAGAGGAAUAAGCACCGGCUAACUCCGUGCCAGCAGCCGCGGUAAUACGGAGGGUGCGAGCGUUAUCCGGAUUUACUGGGUUUAAAGGGUGCGUAGGUGGGUAUGUAAGUCAGAGGUGAAAUCCCCGAGCUUAACUUGGGAACUGCCUUUGUUACUAUAUAUCUUGAAUGCCGUAGAGUUAAGCGGAAUAUGUCAUGUAGCGGUGAAAUGCUUAGAUAUGACAUGGAACACCAAUUGCGAAGGCAGCUUACUAUGCGGUUAUUGACACUGAGGCACGAAAGCGUGGGUAGCAAACA
rnacentral:rRNA from 1 species